CUGCAAGAGAUGUACGUAUGUCGUGGCUAGUGUUAGCAAAUGCCAAACUCUUGUUCAUAUUUUUUCUCUCUGCUUGUUGAAUUGCUCCUUUAAGCUUGAUAAGUUUAGCUUGUAGCAGUCCUUCCUGUAACUGUGACCUAUGAAGUAGAUGUAGCAGCACAUAACUUCUAAGAACCAUGCCUAGAAUGAUGAGUAAUACUAGAAUCACAACAAUAGUCCUUGUCUUUUUCAACAAUGAUACACCUCCUUCACAGGGGAAAGAUACACCUCCUUCACAGGGGAAAGCUGCUACGUAUACCUAGUAAACAACCAAAUAUUGUUCAAGUCCGAACAAGAUCAAUUCUUUCAUCCUAGUUUUGAAAUGCAGUAUGAAGAAAGAUACUCUUAAGUAUUAAACUAAUCAUCAGUUCCAUUCCAUAUGCAUCUAGGAGAAAACAACCAAACUGAUAUCUCCUACCUUGAAUCUUCAAACACUUAAUAUGUGAUGGCCAAACAGAGAUAUUUCCAAGGUAAGUUAUCAUACUUCUCUACAGCAUUCAUAUCAUCCUCAUCCAUUGCAAGAACGGAUACUCCACUGUCAACAACAACCAAGCCUUUUCCCACUAGGUGGGGUCGGCUGUAUGAAUCCUUUUACGCCAUUGAGCUUUAUCUCCUAUUAUAUCAUCAUCUAUAUUUAAACAAAAUGAGUAUGAGGAGGUCCAUCUGGUGCAAUUACUUCUCCUCCUCGGGUAGCCAAAUGCAUGUGCCCACCAUGAAUGUUGAUGCUUGAGAUUGAAUCCUUAAGAGUUUCUAGAGGUACUCCCACUGACAAAACCCCAUUUGUGGAAUUUCUAAGUGGUGUGUUGAAGAAUAGCAUAUGAAUGCUUUGCAAACCUAUCUCGACAUAUAAUGCAUUGUGGAACAAGGAAUCAUUCAAAUGCCUUGGUGGUGAACAUGUAACCUCAUCAGAGAAUUUUCCAAUACCAUUCAAUGCCUGGGCGCACCAUAAAUAAUCAUAAUCAUUUGAGAACAAUACAUAAGUUUAUUUCCUUGACCAUAAUAUGAGAAAACUUUCCCUUGAGGCUCUACAUAAGAAAUUUCUGCAACCCAUUUCUGUAUCAUAAUUGCCAUGUAAAGUUGUGGGACUAUCUGCAUAUCAAAUUUUGUUAAAUUAUUUAAAAAAUACAUAAAUUAUAUCAAUACGACAUGAUAUGAUACCGAAACCAUAGUGUUUUGGUUCGGGGCCGAAACCUUGGCACGAGUCGAGAUUUUAAACCUUGGGUAUAUCCAAACACAAUAUUGUUGUUCGCUAAAACCCUAUAGUGAUCUGCAUGGGUAAUCUUCCACUGUGCCAAUUAUGUCAACGAGUGUCGUGCUGUGUUGACACUUGAUAUUGUUUGACACACUUCGACACUUGUUUAGAUGAGUUAAGUAAUGUUUGUAUAUUUUUUAAAAGCUUAUUUCUUCGAAAUUAUAAUUUAUUUAAUUAUCUAAUUGCUAUAAUUUUAUUUGUAAAAGUCAACAAGUGAAAGAAGAUUAUGGAGUAAUAUGAAUUUACAUUGAUAGCUUUGAAGCACUCAAGCACAUGUAAUUAAAAAAUAUUUUAAAUCCAACAAUUUAAUAAAGUUGAAAAUUUAAGUAAAAAAGGACUAAAUGAGUAAAACCUAUCUCAAUUGAUCUUGAUAGUCUUUAAGGUGUAUCGAGCAUUGGUAUUGUAUGGUAUACUUCUUUUAGUUUAAAUGAUAUAUAAUUGGUAUAAUUAUUUAUUAGAAGGAAUAAGCAAGCGAAGUAGUAUUAAAGGAGCAAAACCAUCUAAAUUUUCCUUCAAAUGGUCAAAUGCAUUCCAAAGAAAGUCAAGUGUUGGUAUAACUUGGUAGUUAGUACUAAAAUGUACAAUUCUGGCUAGAGAUCAAAAUUCUGGCAUUGAGUUAUAAUUCAGUGAUAUUAGAAUAUAUAAAUGGCAUCCUACGAAUUGACUCUUAGAACAUGAAUAAUUCCUUUGGUAUUCUACAGAGAUUGGGAAGUUCAUAUAUUGAAUUGUAAUUAUAUAUGAUGGGCACAGUUAUCUCUAAUGGAAAGAUUGUCCAAUUCCCAAGAACCUUUUUGAGUUUCGAAGUUGAAUCCAUAGAAGAGCUUAAUAUUAAAUGAAUAUUGAGAGACCAAAGUCCACUCUCAGGAUCUUUGUUUCCAACCUUUGCUAUAGAAGCAGGGCAUUGACUUCAACAUGAUAAAAGCUAUUGAAUCUGGUCUCAUGGAGAUACUGCUAAGAAACAUAGAAAAUGAUCCUUGUAAUCUCUGAGGAAAAGUUGUGAUUAAGUACUUGCAUACUGCUUGGUGACCAAUCCUUUUGCUAUUUCCAAUUUUCAAUUUAGCAUCCUCUGUGUGUCUCAACUGAUUCUUUAAACAACAAAAAGUGUGUAACACAGAAAAUAGUUAUCCAUCCGAUCUUUUUAUGGUGUCUUUGAUCAUGAGUUGAAAAUUCUAGUUGGAGGUUGGAAGCAAAGGAGGGAGCAAGCCAAAUAAAGUUUUUUUCCCCCACAAGCAUAUAAACAAUUGAAUUUCAGAAUCUCUUUACUAGUAAAGUAAAAUUACUACGUACUGAAGGGCUCGUCUUUGGUUAUGAUGUUGAAAUAUAGGGUAAUGACAAUUGGAGAAGUGGUGUUCUUUUGACAGGAAACUUUAAUGCAAGUUUAUGCUUGGCUAGAAAUAGAGUAGGGUAAAAGAUAAAUAGAGAAAGAUAGGUUCCAAAUAUGAUAGAUCACCUGUUUGGGUGCAUAGUGAGCAUCAGAAUGUAGUGAAUCUACUUGGUAUGAGGGAAAAAAGGUUCUUGGGUCUUGGUGUGCCACAUGGGAGGUUGUAAAUGGUAAAAUAGGUUUCUUUUUAAGUUUGUUUUUAACUGCUCAUUCAGUUAUGUCACUUUUUUCCCCCCAUUUUCCAUGGGAUUUUUUUCGUAUGUCAGAUAGAGAGUUUAGUGGGUAUCAGUCACUUGAUGAACUCAUUGACAUGCUAAACUAUGUGCUCUGCUGUCACAUCCUUUUGUACUUAUUCCAGGUUUGUGUUGUCUAUCUCGGGUUCAUUUUGUCCCACUAUGUAGCAAUGUUUCAAAACUUGGUACCUUAUGAACAGGUUCUAUCCUGUGUGAAAUUACAGUCUUUAUGCCUUUUUUUGGUUUUCCAGUCUUUAUAUGCGCUUGACAUACCAGGUCUUAUGCCACCAAAUAUAUUCACUUCUUAUGACAUUGCUACGAACAAACGUUGAGCUUGAAGGUGAAGCUGGGUAGCCUAUGUUUCGCUGAUUGGUUUUAAGAGCAGUUGCAAAUGUUAUUACGAUGUAUUCUUCUUUGCUUACAACAGAAACUGAGCUGCAAAGAAGUCACUGGCGCAUACAGUGCUCAGAAUAAGGAGAUAAAUAUAAGUUUGCCAGCAAUUGGUCUAUUGUGGAGUGCAACAGACUUCAUUGCCAAAGGAUUGGGGGAGACUUCUGAUAUUACUUCAAUUGCGGAGCAGAAUAAUUAUUAUGGAAUUUGCGAGGAUGUUCAAGACAUUCGUACUACUGAAGCUAAUGAACCAGUUCCUAUGAAAAAGUUGAUUGAUUAUAAAAGCUUGCUCUUUUCAGUUUUCACCAUUCUUGGAAUCUUGCAGCAGAUGAGUGGCCUGAGGUAUGGUUCCAUAAAUCUGAAUUUAAGGCAAGGAAGACGAAAAUGUUCAACAAUAUCACAUGAUCAGUGGUACAACAACGAUGUUAGACUAGCUGGUAAUGUGUGACGUGAUGUUGAUCUUUCAAGUAUGUUCCCCAGUUAUACUAGUAGUUCAGCCAGCAAUGUUAAGCAGGAGAUACUGCUUGGACUCGGAGAUCUGUAUACUCAAGCACACAUGAUGUUUAAUGUGGAUAUGUAUUUGCAGCUUCUUGGUAUAUUGCAUUUGGCAAUUAGAAGUUCAAGGAAUUCAAGCAAUGUGGAAAGAGAAGCUGUAAGUUCUCUCAUCACAGAUAUUUUUAGUGGGCUUUACCACGCGUUAAUCUGAUCUCAGCUUUCAGAUAUUAGUUCUUCUAUAAAGUGAACAAAUUCAGUUAAUAAAAGUAGAGAGUAGGCAUUGUUCAAAUCUUCACCUGCUCCAAGGACAGCACAGGAGGUCCAUAAGAUGAUUGAGAAAAACAGAGAUGUCUCGGUUGCAUUUUGCAGUAGAAAAUACGUUUUAGAGGAGAGGAGAACUAGAUGCUUGGAGAAAGUAAAGAUGGGGCAUUCCCUUCUUUGGAUCUAGCUCGAGGAAGUAAACACUGUAGAAUAACCUUCUGAAAGCCAGCCAAGACAAGCCUGCAUGAAGCACGGUUGGAUUUAACCUUGGCUUUAUGCACCUAGGAUGCUAUUUUGGAGUAUAAGUAACCAUUGCUGGAUCUGAAAGUGUGGGGAAGAUGCUCAUGACGAGUGGAGCAGCAAAAUAUGGAACUCGAAAGAAGGAUUAUGUAGGAAUUGGUCUUGUAAAGUCAAGGCUCAUAAUGGUAGUUAUGGAAGGUGAUAUAUACUAGAGGAGAACAGAGGGGCAAAAGUUUUGUUUUCUCUGGAGCAAGCAGUAGUUUCCAUUGGAUGAAGUAGGCUGACAUAGAUCUGGAAGACCACUGAUAAAAUAGUGGCAGUUCAUGCAGACACGAGUCAUGUUGAUGCGUAAGAUACAAGGAUGUGUGAGGCCAAGACAUAGGAAGAUAUCUUGUGGAGAAAGAAGAUCCCAUGGGCAAGGAAGAUCUCGUGGAGUUGCAUCUAGCAGUAGUGAUGGUCGGCGGAGACCAUGAUCUGGUGGCAAGUCCUAAUAGAAGGGCAUUGUGAGGUGGAAGCAGGUUUAAUAUCACAUAAAGAAGAUAAGUUAGAAUAGGCAGCAAAAAGACAGGCACGAAGAGUGGUCUGGCCACACUGCUUUGUUCUUUAGAACUUGGGAAGAAAUUAUGGCUUGGAGGAGGAACCAUUGCAUCAGAAUCAUCUACCUUAUGCUAAGUGGGAAAAGGUUGUAUUCUUGUUAUUUAUUUUUAACUAAAGAGACAACUAUUACAAGGUAUAUAUAGGACACUAUAUAAGCCCUAACCAUCAAACAUCCACUAUGAAACUAAACCCACUACUUGUAACUAAUGAUAUAUAAUACCUUUAGUAGCGAAGCUAUUUGAUAGUAUUUCUUCAGAACUGUUACCAUUUGCAGAUCCAGGAAAAUCUCCCGCCAGUAUUGCGUACUAUUUUGGAGAUUUUACCACUCCUUCAUCCUGCACUUUUACAAUCCACAUGGCCCCUGUUUAUCAAGGAGCUCGUUUAUUAUGUGAUUGGAUGGGAAAAUGAUACAUCAGUGAAUGAGAUGAAAUUGACACUACUUUUGAACCAUGAUCAAAAGGGUGGUGUGGUGGUGUCUCAUAAUGCUUCAAAUUCUGGAAACAAAUUUGGGAAUUUGUCAAAUAAAAAAAAGGAGAUAAUGCAAAAAAUAAGAUAUGAUGUUUCUAAUGGUGGCUCUUCUGACUGUGUCAAAC